UGGCACAAUGGUUAAGAGCUUGGCUGCUAACCAAAAGAUUGGUGGUUCAAAUCCACC
rnacentral:tRNA from 1 species